rnacentral:rRNA from 1 species
UACGGAGGGGGUUAGCGUUGUUCGGAAUUACUGGGCGUAGAGCGCGCGUAGGCGGAUUAGAAAGUUGGGGGUGAAAUCCCGGGGCUCAACCUCGGAACUGCCUCCAAAACUGCUAGUCUAGAGUUCAAGAGAGGUGAGUGGAAUUCCGAGUGUAGAGGUGAAAUUCGUAGAUAUUCGGAGGAACACCAGUGGCGAAGGCGGCUCACUGGCUCGAUACUGACGCUGAGGUGCGAAAGUGUGGGGAGCAAACAGG